AAAAUGCCGGCCUACGGCGACUUCCUUCCCUCUUCAUCAUGUUUUGACUCCUGCCUGGUCCUUAAAUUGACAAUUUUGCAUGUUUGCAGGCCAAAGGGAAAGCCAGGAGCGGAGUGGGUGCGACAAGUAAAAAGGAAGAGAGAUCGCUAUAGUUUUUAGUUGCUUAGCGCAUAUGUGGAGUCUGUAUGUCAUAUGAUGUCAACUGAACUAAAUCUUCUUUUUGGGGAGCGAGUAAAUGAUUUAUAAUAUUAUUAAAUCCGACUUUGGUUUCGGUCUAGCUAUACCCAACGAGUAACGACUCGUAGGAAAAAAAGGUAUAUUAGUUUCUUUGAAAAGUGUGCAACAGGUAAAAGGAUACGUUCCCGGCCCUAUCAGGUAUAGAAAUACUUGAUCAGAUUCAUUUACUGAUAUCUGGAGAGCAAUAAAAGUAUUUGAAAUGUUA
rnacentral:sRNA from 1 species